GGAACUUGGGUGAAAUUCCCAGGCUGUGCCGCAACCGUGGUUCGACUACGCUCACCAUCUAGUCGAUAAGCCGGAAAAC
rnacentral:ncRNA from 2 species